CAUGUCCUGUUCGAGUGUUUGGUGGUUGAUUUCCUUCCAAUUUCCAAAGACGUGAUUUUCAAUUUUCAUUCCCUCGUUUUCUUCCUUCAUUCCUUUCCUGCGAUGGAUGAAGGAUACCGAUUUUACCCUUCGUAAUUUCGUUUAGAAACCAUGAAAAUCGCAACCUAUCUGCCAGACCACUGCAAUCGAUCCUAACAAGUGAACAAGAACUGCGGCAACAUUAUCGAUUUCUCCUAAUCGCAACCAAAUCAGCAUCCAAAUCGAAACGGAAGUAGCUUCUAAGAAUAGAUCGAUUCUCGAUUUCUAUAAAGCAUCUUCCAAUCCAUUUCAGAAAAAGCACAAUACAUGGAUCGUCUUUGAAGUGUUCUUCAUCAUCUCCAAGAUAUGACAUGUGGAUUGCAAAAGCAACAUAACAUCUUUUUGUCCUAUAAUCUGAGCUUUUUCCCAGUGAAGAAAAUGAGGAGGGCAUUAAUGUCUUUUAACAAGUGAGAGAUCAAGAGCAAAUCCUAACAUUGGUGGUUUGCUUCUUUACAAAUUACACAUGGCUGAUCAGUUAUUUGUGCAAUGGCCACAAUUACAAAAACAAUAUCCUCGAGCUCAUUAUGUGGGACGUCUUAUGUAACCAUUUUGUUUUUGUAUAAACAACUUAAUUCAAAAGGACAUUUUAAGUGUAGGUAUGUUUUUUAUUUAUUUAUCUAUUUAAUAGUGUUUGAAAUAUAGAUAUGUAUCACUAUAGACAUGUGUUAUUAUGAUUUUUUGUUUAUAUGUGAACUCUGUAUUUCAAUUUAGACUAAUACCAAUACAUCGAAUAGCAUGUUUGUUAA